GCAGUGGUAGUUCAGUGGUAGAAUUUUUGCCAUCCGUACAAGAGAACCAGGUUCAAUUCCUGGCUAAUGCA
rnacentral:tRNA from 1 species